rnacentral:lncRNA from 1 species
CGGAUGAGGAUAUUUAUACCCAUCCCCUUUUGAUCUGAGCCAUCUAUCGCUUUUAAUCUGUACCGUCCGAUCGCGAUUAAAUAGAAAAUAAAUCUGGACCAUUCAUCGCGAUUCAAUCUGGGCCGUCCGUGCGCGAUUCAAUCUGGACUGUUCGUGCGCGAUGCAAUCCGGGCCAUCCGUGUGCGUUUUUUAUUUGGGUCGUCCGUGCGCACGGGAAC